AUUGAACGCUAGCGGGAUGCCUUACACAUGCAAGUCGAACGGCAGCGCGGACUUCGGUCUGGCGGCGAGUGGCGAACGGGUGAGUAAUGUAUCGGAACGUGCCCAGUAGCGGGGGAUAACUACUCGAAAGAGUAGCUAAUACCGCAUACGCCCUACGGGGGAAAGGGGGGGAUCGCAAGACCUCUCACUAUUGAAGCGGCCGAUAUCGGAUUAGCUAGUUGGUGAGGUAAAGGCUCACCAAGGCGACGAUCCGUACCUGGUUUGAGAGGACGACCAGCCAAACUGGGACUGAGACACGGCCCAGACUCCUACGGGAGGCAGCAGUGGGGAAUUUUGGACAAUGGGGGAAACCCUGAUCCAGCCAUUCCGCGUGUGCGAUGAAGGCCUUCGGGUUGUAAAGCACUUUUGGCAGGAAAGAAAUCGCAUCAAUUAAUACUUGGUGUGGAUGACGGUACCUGCAGAAUAAGCACCGGCUAACUACGUGCCAGCAGCCGCCGUAA
rnacentral:rRNA from 1 species